AUGGAUAGCGAUCCACUUCCGACCGCCACCUCCCCUUGCCCUAUGGACAAUGCCGAGGUAUUGUCUCAAGAGGCACCGGGUCGAGGGGAGACAAUCCCGGAGGCGCCUCAAGGCGACCUUCCGGACUCCAGGAGCAAAGGGAGCAAGGCUCCCGAGGGCUUCGAGUUCGACCCUCAGUCGAACACCGCGCCGGAACCUCCAGUGGUUCCGGACUCGGGCAGGCGGCCUCCUUCCAAAAGGAGCAAGACGCCUGUGCCGGUGAUCUCUGCCCAUCCAGGGGCACCGGGCAAUCUGCUGGGAGCGCUUCGCAGCGCUUCCAUCGACGAAGAGCACCGCACUAUUAUGAGUGCGGUGAUCCAGAAGGUUCAGUCCAUCAAGAGCGGACUGACUGAAGCCUGUGCCAGCCUUCUAACAGGCUUUGAGGCUUCGCUGCUGGCCUCUGUCGCACUGACUUCGGAGGUCGCCGCACUGAAGCAGGACCUCGAAGGGUCCAAGAAAGAGCUCGGCCUUGCCAAGAGGCAGCUCGAGGAGAACAAAGGAUUAUCUGUGAUUUGCUAG
rnacentral:rRNA from 1 species